AGUGAACGCUGGCGGUAGGCCUAACACAUGCAAGUCGAACGGCAGCACAGUAAGAGCUUGCUCUUACGGGUGGCGAGUGGCGGACGGGUGAGGGAUACAUCGGAAUCUACUUUUUCGUGGGGGAUAACGUAGGGAAACUUACGCUAAUACCGCAUACGACCUACGGGUGAAAGCAGGGGAUCUUCGGACCUUGCGCGAUUGAAUGAGCCGAUGUCGGAUUAGCUAGUUGGCGGGGUAAAGGCCCACCAAGGCGACGAUCCGUAGCUGGUCUGAGAGGAUGAUCAGCCACACUGGAACUGAGACACGGUCCAGACUCCUACGGGAGGCAGCAGUGGGGAAUAUUGGACAAUGGGCGCAAGCCUGAUCCAGCCAUACCGCGUGGGUGAAGAAGGCCUUCGGGUUGUAAAGCCCCUUUGUUGGGAAAGAAAAGCAGCAGGUUAAUACCCCGCUGUUCUGACGGUACCCAAAGAAUAAGCACCGGCUAACUUCGUG
rnacentral:rRNA from 1 species